GUAGGUGGCAAGCGUUGUCCGGAAUUAUUGGGCGUAAAGCGCGCGCAGGCGGUUCUUUAAGUCUGAUGUGAAAGCCCACGGCUCAACCGUGGAGGGUCAUUGGAAACUGGAGAACUUGAGUACGGAAGAGGAAAGCGGAAUUCCACGUGUAGCGGUGAAAUGCGUAGAGAUGUGGAGGAACACCAGUGGCGAAGGCGGCUUUCUGGUCUGUAACUGACGCUGAGGCGCGAAAGCGUGGGGAGCAAACAGGGAUUAGAUACCCUGGUAGUCCACGCCGUAAACGAUGAGUGCUAAGUGUUAGGGGGUUUCCGCCCCCUUAGUGCUGCAGCUAACGCAUUAAGCACUCCGCCUGGGGAGUACGGCCGCAAGGCUA
rnacentral:rRNA from 1 species